rnacentral:lncRNA from 1 species
UUUUGACAAACUGGGUUAGUGUAUUUAUAUGCAAAAUGUGUUUGUGUUGAGAUUACAAGGGAAAUAAUUGAGUCAUACAAAGAUAAAGAUGUGUACGUGGAAUGCUAUAUAUGCUUCAUGGUCUUGCUAUUCAUGGUCAUGGGUGAGGUUUAAUCUUGUUGGACUAUUUUUUCAGAAUGAUAUGCUUCUAUCAUUUUGGAUUGAUAUAAUGAAUUCCUAGGCUUUCAUCAUGAAUAAUGAAAUGGAGCAUAAUUAAUAGGGACUUAUGUCUAAUAAAAUGGGUUAGUAUUAUAAUAAAUUAAGGGAUGGUUUGACUGUCUAUUGACCAGUCUGGGU